UUUUUUUUUUUGGUAGUUCUGUAAUAUGCAAUUUGAACAGUUUGAAGAGAUAAUUUUUAUGCUUGUGGUGAAAUAAUGCUUUAGGCUGUUUACUUGGGUAGGAAUUUUGUGUAAUUGAAAUACCCUGAUUUUAUGAGCAGUUCAGGAAUAUGAAAAUCAAAAUCUAAUACCAAAUUUGAAGCUGCAGAAUUUUUCAUUUGCUAUUUGAGGCCGUUGAUUUCAAUGUUGUCAUAGAAAUUAAAUCAAUUAUGGAUUGUAUAUAUCAGGGUUGGAGGAUCCAAAAUUUCAGGAUGGUUGUGCACAAUUUUUAUAUUAGAUUUUUCUAUGGGCCUACCAAUAAGGAAGGAUCCAUUUCCUGGAGGGUGCUUUAUGAUGCGUGCUUUAUUACUCCCUUUGCUUUAACCUGAUAAGGGUUUUUCAUGUUCUACCGCAGUGACACCUCAG
rnacentral:misc_RNA from 1 species